ACUCCUACGGGAGGCAGCAGUGAGGAAUAUUGGACAAUGGGUGGAAGCCUGAUCCAGCCAUCCCGCGUGCAGGAAGACGGCCCUAUGGGCUGUAAACUGCUUUUAUCUGGGGAUAAACCUACUUACGUGUAAGUAGCUGAAGGUACCAGAAGAAUAAGCACCGGCUAACUCCGUGCCAGCAGCCGCGGUAAUACGGAGGGUGCAAGCGUUAUCCGGAUUUAUUGGGUUUAAAGGGUCCGUAGGCGGACUAAUAAGUCAGUGGUGAAAUCCGACAGCUUAACUGUCGAACUGCCAUUGAUACUGUUAGUCUUGAGUAAGGUUGAAGUGGCUGGAAUAAGUAGUGUAGCGGUGAAAUGCAUAGAUAUUACUUAGAACACCAAUUGCGAAGGCAGGUCACUAAGUCUUAACUGACGCUGAUGGACGAAAGCGUGGGGAGCGAACAGGAUUAGAAACCCUUGUAGUCCCAUGA
rnacentral:rRNA from 1 species